rnacentral:rRNA from 1 species
UACCAGCACCCCGAGUGGUCGGGACGAUUAUUGGGCCUAAAGCAUCCGUAGCCGGUUGUGCAAGUCCUCCGUUAAAUCCAGCCGCUCAACGGAUGGGCUGCGGAGGAUACUACAGAACUAGGAGGCGGGAGAGGCAAGCGGUACUUAGUGGGUAGGGGUAAAAUCCUUUGAUCCAUUGAAGACCACCAGUGGCGAAGGCGGCUUGCCAGAACGCGCUCGACGGUGAGGGAUGAAAGCUGGGGGAGCAAAC